rnacentral:rRNA from 1 species
CAGCCGCCGCGGUAAUUCGUAGGGGGCAAACGUUGUCCGGAUUUACUGGGUGUAAAGGGUGCUCAGGCGGUCUUGUAAGUUAGAAGUGAAAUCCUAGAGCUUAACUCUGGAACUGCUUUUAAUACUGCAAGGCUUGAAUGUGGAAGAGGAGGAUGGAAUUUCUGGUGUAGCAGUGAAAUGCGUAGAUAUCAGAAAGAACACCAGUGGCGAAGGCGGUCCUCUGGUCCACUAUUGACGCUAAAGCACGAAAGCGUGGGGAGCAAACAGGAUUAGAUACCCUGGUAGUCCACGCCUUAAACGAUGAAUACUAGACGUUGGGGUUAAACUCAGUGUCGCAGCUAACGCAUUAAGUAUUCCACCUGGGGAGUACGAUCGCAAGGUUGAAACUUAAAGGAAUUGACGG